rnacentral:rRNA from 1 species
GCCAGACUCCUACGGGAGGCAGCAGUGGGGAAUAUUGCACAAUGGGGGAAACCCUGAUGCAGCGACGCCGCGUGAGUGAAGAAGUAUUUCGGUAUGUAAAGCUCUCUCAGCAGGGAAGAAAAUGACGGUACCUGAUUAAGAAGCCCCGGCUAACUACGUGCCAGCAGCCGCGGUAAUACGUAGGGGGCAAGCGUUAUCCGGAUUUACUGGGUGUAAAGGGAGCGUAGACGGUGAUGCAAGUCAGAAGUGAAAGCCCGGGGCUCAACUCCGGGACUGCUUUUGAAACUGUGUGACUGGAGUGCAGGAGAGGUAAGCGGAAUUCCUGGUGUAGCGGUGAAAUGCGUAGAUAUUAGGAGGAACACCAGUGGCGAAGGCGGCUUGCUGGACAGUAACUGACGUUGAGGCUCGAAAGCGUGGGGAGCAAACAGGAUUAGAUACCCUAGUA